rnacentral:lncRNA from 1 species
UCGCAAAAGGGUACAACGCUGGUGGCUAUAUAGGGAUUGACGGAUACAAAGGUUGGAUAAGGUUAGCUUACUCCUCUCCUACUCUAGCAUUUGGAUACAGAGAACGACUAUCCCGCUGGAUCUUCUGUUGAUGCUUAAAGGCUGGGUUAUAGGCGGACUACAUAACCUUACGAGUGAUUAGCUUAAACUUGGGACUGAUAGCCAUACUCUAAAAGCUUGCACCAGGUCUCUCACUAUACCCCGGGAUUCUCUAGCUCUUGCACGCUGAGUUUAUCCUAUGGUCUCUCUCGGGGCAAGGUAAGCUUUCUCUUAUUGCACGCCUACCUUUCUUUGUAAGGGGUUUUGGGAUGAGGAUAAUUAGUUUGUAAUUAGCACUAAGGCAGUGGAAGCAGAAUCCGUUGAUGAAUGCUUAUAUAUAAAAAAAUAAAGUAAAAACUAGGAUAAGGUUUUGUAGAAUAGGUAGGGCACG